rnacentral:lncRNA from 1 species
UUUUCUUCUGCUGAAAAGCUAAUUUAUUCUGAGCUCUUGGUUUUUUUUGUUCAUGUGCCUAAUGUAUGUUUUGAGGAGAAGUUAACUGCAAGUUGUUAAAGCGCCUUUUGAUUCUGCCAUCAAACCAAAUAGCCACAGGCAGCCAGCACUGGUGCAAGUAGCCUAGCUGGAGUCAUUGUUGAACGUGAAUGCAGCUGUCCCAUAGCACUUGUACAGGAGUCUCUGUUGAAAGUGCAACAACUUUCUACAGAUUCGAGGGUUGGAAUCUGACCCCUGGUUGUACUGACACUUGUGUGCUUUGUAGAGCUGUGAACUGAUAUUCCUUUGGUCUUGCUCCGAGUGGGCUGUGUCCACGCUGGUGUAUGGCCUUGUUCCGAGCUGUGGAGGAUGCGAAGGAAUCUGGAGAGACUGCUGCUUCUUUCUGCUCUCGACCCUCUCUCCCUGCUCCCCUCCAUUUUCAAGCUUUCUAAAGGGCAAUAUUUCAACACUAAUGUUGUUUCUCAGACCAUCAGCCCAGGCCCUGCGGCGCUCGGCCACGGUCCCAGAGCGGGUGCGGGACCUGCACCGGGGCCUCUGUGCCGCAGGGUGUGCAGUGGUGGCUCUGGACCCAGGGGAGCGUGUGGCUGCCAGAUGGGAAUAUGUGGAUGGGCUGCUCCUGCCACCUGCCCAGCGAGGAUGAGGAUGGAGCAAGGCAGGAGGAGGAUGGGCUGCUGCUCCCAGCUGCUGAAGGGGAAACCUCUGUCCCUGGUGUGUCAUCUGUAGGUGGCCCCCUGGGCUAGGAGAGCUGCUCCAGCUGCCGUGGGUGCAGGCACCAUGCCCGUGGCUGCUGGGCUGCCCAGUCUCAGGUCAAAGGGGGUGCAAAAUGCUUUAGUGGUCCAGCGUGUCCUCUCAGCUGAAGAACAGGGAAGAAUGGAAGACAAUGUUGUUGGAGCUCUCCGAGGGCAUUUCCACUGCAGACUGUGAUCCUCCUGCUCCAUCGAGCCCUUGGAUUGGUGCAGCAGGGGCUGGGUCAAGCUUCACAAACUCACCUUUCAACACAGUUUUUGAUUCACAAGGUUUUUUCCUCUUCUCCUCCCUCUUCCAUGCAUGUUUUUGCAUGGAGGGGACUGUUGGCACAGGUCAGCAGUAUUGUUGGUGCAUGCCCCGUGCUCCUUCAGUGCUCACCGAGGGGGGAGUUGCCCAUGAAUCCCCCUUGGUCCCCAAAUCUCCAAAUCGGCCAUCCUGAUCUCCCAUUGCCCGGCUUUGGUUACAGAAAUGCUGAUGGUGUGUUUGCCAACAGCUGUGCUGCAUCACCCGUUGCCCCCACGGGUCCCUGGGCCUCUGGGGACUCAUGGCCCCUGCCAGCCCCUGCCAUGCAGCUUUGGUCUGUGUUUCUGUCCAUCCUGCUGGGAAAGGCAAGCCAGAGCCAAGCCCCUGGGUGCUGAGCUGAGGAGCUGGUGGCUGUGCUGGGCAGUCACGCACAUAUCACGUACCAGAGGCAUUGCUUCACUUCUUGUGUAGAAAUGGGGAUGGCAGAUGUCGUAUUAAAUCAUGG